CUCUCAUCUAAUCAGAAGAACAAUGAGUUUAUAAUACUAAUAAGACAACUAAAUCCAGACGAGAGCUCUUCUUCUAGACGCCCUGCUACCGUUACGACGUCUCCUAAUGUGGUUUCCCUAGGGAAUGUGAUGUGUUUCCUCUUGCUUCCUUUUCCUUCUCUUCCAUUUGGUUUGUUGUUAUCUAGUGUAGACUUUUAGAUGCUGUAUCGUGGAUCUCGAUGAGGUUUGUUGUGCAAGGUUCCCGUAACCUAGGCUAGGAGGUUGGUAGAAUGCAUUCUUCCCUUCGUAGCUUGUUUUCUUGUGCUUCUCUUCAUCAGUAAUUGUUUGAUUCUAUGAUCUUCAUAUCUGAAAGGGAGAAGGUUGAUGAUGUGUUUGAUAUUUGUAACUAUGAGAAAUUCACUUCCACAAAGUGUAUUUAUGAAGAAAACCGUAUGAGCUUUGCUGGUCUGAUCAAUCGUGAUUUGUUUUUCAAUCGAACUCUCUGUUAUGUAAAACACUUAUAAGAGUUAAGCUGUCUCGUGUUGCUUGCUGGAACAGGGAGCUGGGAAGGUCUGCAGUUUUGAAUAGCUUAAUGUGACAUCCAGUUCUGGGAGGAAUCACUGAGCAGCAAGGCAAUAAUCUUGCAAAUUGACAAUAAAUCUCAACAAGUUUUUGCAAGCGUCCUAGGACAUUCUAUACAGGAUAGGCUUAGCAAAGGGAGCACUGGUAAGUCCUCUCUUACUUGCACAAUCACAAAUGUAAAGAUGUAUUUAUUAAUCGAUUUAACAUCCAUAUUAUCAAAUAUAAGUUGGGUAUUUGAAUAUGUCCCUGAUAUUAGUGAACUCUCAGCUGCAAUAUGUUGCCACCACUAAGUUUAAUGCACAUUAGAAGCUUCACUCCUUUUUGCGUUUAGAAUAUUAUCUUUUUUUAAAUGAAUGUAAAAUUUUAUCAACCAAAAAACCUAUUAACAUCAUGUGAAACUGUUUUUCUUGUAUUUAAAAGAAUCAAAGAACUCUUGUCUAAAUAAAAGAAUUAUCCAGCUCCUCCAUUGGUUUCUUGUAUCCCAAACCAAGUGAUCAACCCUUAAUCAAGGUAUUGCUGCCCCUUCCCUUUCACUGGAAGCAACCUGAGCCUCAUUGCCUUAUCCACAAACCUGACCAAACAUUUAAUA